AGGAAGCCUUUUCUGCAAACACCACUCACUGUACACAUUCCUGUAGGCUCAGCCCUUGGAAGGCUGAGGCACUAGUUGGAGCCCAGCUUUGGCUCUGAAUUGAGUCCAAGGCCAGUCUGGGCUGCCAAGUGAGACCCUGUUUUAAGAUAAAAAGUAGUACUGUGCUUUCAAGAGUAGGAUGAGAACUAAGUUCAUCCGGAGCCCUCUCAUUGCCUCACAGUUCUUUCAGUUACAAAGUUGCAGGAGAGCCUAGGGACCGUUAACCGUCAGCCCGGAGGACCAGGGAAGCCGGUGCUGCCUGGAAGCUGCUCUCCCAGACAGCCCAUUCAUCAUCUUUCCUUCCGUUCUUUACAAUGAACAUAUUUCUUAGCUACUGCACAGUGUUUCAAAUUGAAUGAUACAUUUUCAUUAUAGGCCAGCCUCCCAGAGAGCUGUAAUUCUUAGGGCAGAUAAAAGCAGACAGGUACCCAGAAGCCUGUGGGAGAGCAGGAGAAAGCUGUUGCUGAGAAUUGCUGCUGCUGGCUGACCGUGCCACGCCUGUCUUCACGGGUUAGAUUUGGGACAUUUGGGAGUGCUGAUUAUGUCUUCAUAUCAAAUAGGAGAAAGAAUUCAUCCUAAGGUGUUGGGUGGGCUGGAUGGAGAGCUAUCUGAAAGGCUUGAACCUUUGGGAAGCAAUUCCAUGGAAGAGUUGUCAGAGAUCUCUGUAAUCCUGGACUGUGUCGUGAGCGCUUGUGUGUGUGUGUGUGUGUGUGUGUGUGUGUGUGUGUGUGUGUGUGUGUGUGUGUUUUAAAUAACAUAGGAAGGUGUUAUAAGCUGGAGUUUCCUGAAUCAUAGGGGCCCAUUGACAGAGUCUUGGGUAAUACUCUGCACAUGUGUACAGUUACUUGACAGCAAAUGCAAGGGGAACCACUCCCCUGUGUGUUUUCUUAGCAUCUGGGGAGGUGAAUCCCAAGCUGCUCAAGUCCCCGUGGUCCCGUGAAGGUCUCCCCAUGUCAGGUCAACAGAAUGGCUGCUCGGAUGGCAUAUUAAAUGUUGGAGCUUGGUACUGACAAGAGGAUGAAAGGGAGUAGAGUUCACAGGCAACAGAGUAGGUGAUGCAACUCCAUGUCCAUACUCACCCAAGUACGACCUAACAUUUCCAAUGGUAGGGUCAGAAGGCAACCUCUCUUGGACAACCCUCUAGCAAAAUGUGUUCGGGCAACAAACGCAGUUAGGACACAGGAAGCACGCGCUGGAUCUAAGCCUAUGCAUUUAAGCCACAGCCUUCUGCAGUAUUUCCUACAGUACCAGAAACACACCCUCCUUUCUUCCCUGUACUUUCUAGAAUACCUGUAGAGACGCUUGCAAUCACCUGCUGGGAAGAGGUCGGAGAUAAAUAGGACAUGGGAAAAGAUGUCUACCAGGUACGACUCUGAAAAGCCAGCAAACUGUGGUCAACCCUGCUGGUGGCUACUUGCAGCCAGGAGGGCGGGACAGUAGAUGCCACUUCGAUAUGGAGCUACAGUCUCAGCAUGCAUGGAUUUUCUUUGCUGCCUGGGUGAGGCGUAGGGCACACCCAGAAUACGAGCCUGCUAUGACUGGCUGACUAGCAGUUGUAAGAAGGCACCAAGUUGGCCGAGAAGUACUCUAAUUCCAGUACCAUUAGUGGAGUGACAGCUCCUGCUGCCUCCUACCGCUCUGAAUCCCUGCCCUUCAAGGACCAGCUCAAGUCUCACUCCUCUGAGAGGCCACAGCUACUCCCACACUCACACUACAUCUUGCAUCUAUGUGUGGAUUGUUCCCUGAACUGCCCCAAGCUUGUGUCUUCUAGCUUUGGGCUCUUGGUUGGUUGGAGUGUCCAUAUAGGUCUGAAUGCUCCACAGAGAGGUAUGCAGAGGACUGGUGGGAGAGGAAGAUUCCAGGAAAAGCAAGAGUCUACUCUCAUUCUACAUAAACCUCUCAUGAGAGCACGGAAGUAAAUCUGCCUUCCUUCCACCUUUGACUGCACUGUGCUGUGACGGCAAAGCCUGUAGGAUCGCAGGGCAAAGCUGUGUAGGAGUUCCAGAACGCUUACUUGAGGGCACACACUCACAAGGAUUUCAUAAAAAGAAGAUGGAAAUUUCUCUCCUGCUCUCUCCGGCAUUUAUGUCCAUACAGAGUGGCUGUAUGUUUGUCUGAAGUAUGAGGCUUGAAUAUCACUGCUGAGCAAUAGCACAGUACAAGCAGAAAGUUAUUGAUUCUAGAACAAACUCAAUCACGUCCUGGAGACUCAGCAGCCCACGUCCUUCUGUGGGCCUCACUGUGAAACACGUUAGAUUACAGCAUGUCUUUUCUACCCACAACACAGAGAUGUGGUCAUGCCAUAACAGAGAGGUGGUCAUGGCACAAUAUCCUUUCUUCCACAAACUGUCCUAGUGAAAUUCAAACCUAAAGUUUUUCAAGAACGAUCUGGUCACACAUUCAACCCACAAGCUUGUCACUAACGGGUCACAGCACACAAUUCUGAGAACCAACAGACUAACUAUGGCUACACUAAGGAUGCUUUUCAUUAAGUUAUGUGACCUGGGAGCCCAUUAGGGCCAGGAGAGCAGUGGCCCUAAAAAUGUAGCUUAGGGGCGCCCUAGUUUGGGAACACCCUCAGGCCCUCUCCUCCAUAUUUCUAGCUGAAGGAAGCCAUCAGAUCUGAACACAGGACCUGUGACAGGCACUGAAAGGCAGCAGAGGUAACGAGAACACAAUGGCCAAUGCCAGGUCCGAGUCCUACAAAAGGCAAUGCCAGAUACUGCAAGAACAUGUGUGUGUGUGUGUGUGUGUGUGUGUGUGUGUGUGUGUGUGUGUGUGUGUGUGGAGAGAGAGAGAGAGAGAGAGAGAGAGAGAGAGAGAGAGAGAGAGAAGCAAGUGGCAUCUGUAACUACUUCUAUUCAGACCUUUAGGUAGAAACAUGAGACAGGGUCCCAGGACACUACCUCUUGCUUUUCAAGGGAAGCUGUGGUUGAAAAGCCUUUUGAACAGCUCCAGCAAUUACCCUGAACAAUGCCUAAACCAUCUUGGCCUUGAGACGCAGCCUGGUGCUGCAGAUUAGUGACCAUUCUCACACUUUCCAGGUCAAGUGCGAAUCCCCAAUUCUAUCAGCAAUUUCCCUUCCAGACUGGACGUGUGGGAAUUGUUUACGGUUAAGCUGUUUAUGGACGAUUAACCUCAGUAUAUAAAACUGGUCUCUCCACUCCGGGGAAAGUUCCAGGUGCAGAGAGGGAGGCCUGCGUUCCCCCUGCGCUGGUUGCUUUUACCUCUAAAGAGAGCGAUCUCAGAGCAGUGAAUCCUGACAGGCAGGCCGCAGGGCUGCACGUACUCUACUCAGUCCUAGGUGACAGGGGUGGCAUUUGGUUUCCAUAUUGUUUUUAGUGUACACUGUGACUUUGGGAGAGCCAGUGCAGUAACCACCCCCAUUUUAGGCAAGUGCCCAGAGGAGAGCCACAAUCUUUGUGUGGCUUCUUCAGGCUGUAGUGUAGUUCUGUGGGCUAUCCAUGACAAAGGUCAGAUCACGAGAUGUGUAUUUUGUUUGUGUAUGUGUGUGUGUGUGUAUGUGUAUAUACAUAUGUGUGUACAUGUGAGGGCUGGAGGUCAACACCGGUGUCUUUCACGAUUGCUUUCCCCACUUUAGCUUUUAUUUCAGUUAGAGACAGGGUCUGUGAACCAGGGCCUCACCAAAUGGCCAGAGUGGCCAUUGAGCUCCAGAUAUCAGCCUCUCUCUAGUCCCCCCAACCCCGCCUCCCUGGCCCCAAGCAGUAUUUCCCAUGCUGGGCGUCUGAACUCAGGUCAUCACAUAUCUCCCCAGUCGCCAUGACAGUUUGAAAGAAGUUGUAUCUUCUGUAGUAGAUUUGACUUCAUGUUGAAAGUUGAAGAGGUCCAACAGUAGGUAAGGAGAUGGGAUCAUGAUAGGAAAACACAUAAAGGCUAGCUAUUCGUCCUCCCAAAGGAAAUUCUACCUCAUGCUACAUACAGCACAGAACCUUAAUGAUAUAAUGUUAAGCAAAAUAAACCAGUCACAAAGAGGACAGAUACUGCGUAAUUCCACAUAGGUGAAGUGUCUAGAGCUGACCAAUUAAAAUAGAAAGGGUGGCUGUGGGGACCCGUGGGCAGGGAUGGGAGUACUGUAUGGUUUACUACCUGAAAGUUUCUGUGUCAGGAGCUUGGUUCCAGAAUGGCAGUGCUGGGAGGUAGUGAAGUAAGGCAGGCAGGGAUGAAGGCAAUGAUGGGGAUGCUUUAGGCCAAGUGGGCUUGCAUUUGGGGCAUUGAGGGACCCCAGCUACACUUCCACUUCUUGUUGGUCUGUGUUCUUACUUCUUCCUACAUAACCUUGGGCUAACUGUGACCCACAGAAGGCAUUUUGAGAAGACAGUCUGCACAGACCGUUUUGUUCAUCAGGUAUUUUGUCCCAGUAAGGACAGAUGGGACUAAGACGGCCAGUCAUCUUGAAUGGGUAGAGUGCUUUGGUUUUGUAAGAUUAAACCAGUUCCUGAUCUAGCUCUUAGGAGUGGGUAUAAACAUCUGAAUAUACUCGAAGUAGCAAAUAUUACGUUAUCAUAUUUUACUAUAACAUAAUUGGGGGGAAAGAUGAGGGAUAAGGUUAAUAACUCAGCUAGCCCGUCACCCAGAUAGAUGCUAAUUUGAAAUGCUCCCCCCAAAGCAUGUUCCCAUUUUCUCUGCGUUUUCAGGCCAAGUUGAAAUUUUGACUUCUGUCAACAUCCUGUUUGGGUCUUCGGGGCUUAAGAGCUUUUGUUAGGGUCUGUCUCAGACUGACAGCACCUACCAUAGCUCAUGGGGCUCUACCCUUGGUUGCCCUGCAGCAGCCUGAGGAAGGCACAGCUGGCGACGUUACCUGGACGGGUAGCCUGCCGCGCUGAUCCGAAUGGUCUCCAACACGCCGCAGGCUCUGAGCUGCUGCACAGCUCUCUUUGGGUCGAAGCUGCAAAGUGAAAAACAGCAUGAAGCAGUGCUGGGAGGUGAGAGGAGGGCUGAAGCUCGGCAGUAAGAGGCUGAGAAGACAAAGGAAAUGUGGAGCACCUCGCUGGAACCCUUUCCCUGUCACCUGAGGUGGUUUCGUCCUCUUUGAUAUGAAGCACUGUUCUGGGAUGCCAGCAGGUCUCACAAGAAGCCUGUCUGAUUUAAUGGCCACUCAUGGUCCUGGGAAGGCCUUCAGGGUACAGGCUCUGUUUUCCUCACCUCUAAUGGGUGUGGAGAACAUCUGCCCAAGCAUAACUACGAUAGUCACAGAUGGAGACUUUCAAGAGAAAAGCACAGAGACCGGACAAACAAGAUACAGUGUCCUCUCUCCUUGUCCAGGCACCGAGGAAGCCCAGAUUGUUCAGUGUUCUCAUCUCAUGUCUGCACCAGUGGAAACUCCAUGGGCCGCACUAUGAAGUGACAAGGAAUGGAAAACCAGCCUUCUAAUGAAGCCAGGCUUAGAUCUGGAGGACAGCCAACAGAUAACUGGGUAUUAAGAAAAAAUUCAAAAACCCAAUUAGGUAUAGGUUUAAGCCGUUGAAAAUCAGAUUUACACUUUGCUGGGAGAGACAGCAGAGCCUGGAGUUGCCUGGCUGCAGAGGGAGGAGCCCAGGGCUGCAGCACCUGGCCGUGCUUCUCCAGUGGCUUCCCUUCCCACUCUAUCAGCCUUGCAUGGGCUCUAUGCUUUCAACCACUUCCUCAGGCUCCACAACAUUCCUACAGUCAGCCAAAGACUCUGAGACCAGUUCGUCAGCAAGCUUCACCUCUACCAAGGAAGUCCAGAUCAACACUUACCCCAGCCACUUCAGGGGAGAGGAGGGUCGCUUCAUCACUUCCUUGCCUUUCUGUCUCCACAGGAUUUUCCCCAAGUGAAUUCUCUCAUUCUACUUGGUGGGUUCCCAGGGAUUGAACACCGGCCAUCAGGCUUGGGUUACGUGCUUUUACUAGCUGAGACAUCUUGACAUCCCUAUGCUCAUACUAUGUCUACAGAACUGUUGAUGGUCAACUUUUGGGGCAGUGUCAUUUAUAUGUGACAUACAGCUCCUUAAGCAGGGCCGGGGGUGGCAGCAUAGCUUAAAGCCAUCCCACCUGUCAUAGACAAGCAUCUAAUGAAGAAGAAAUAAGCCAGAUGUUUCUUGACUAAAAGUAAAGAGAAAAUACUUUUAUAUGAGAAGUGCUAUCAGAAAUAUACAGGACAGGGCUCUUAAUGGGGCUAUUCUGCUCCCUAAGGAGCACUUGGUAAUGUGUAAAAAUGUGGGUUGUCACACUGAUGGAGAUGCUAUUAGCAUGUGGCAGAUAGAGGACAGUGAUGCUUCUAACCAUGCUAUAAUGUGCAGGGCAAUCUUCUAUAGCAAAAUACUGCCUGACCCACAUGUGGACAGUCCUAAGGGCGAGACACUGGGGUGUAGCAGACUUGCUUCUAGGAUACUAUCAAUAGUUUAUGUCAACACACACACACACACACACACACACACACACACACACACACACACAUAGUUAUAUAUACAUGUAGGUGGAGGCCAGAAAAAUCAACCUUGAGAGUGUCUGUCUUUCCUCAGGUACCACCCACACUGUCUUUUAAGGUAGAGUCUUUUAGUUGGCAUGAGGCUUGCUGACCAGGCUACCAGGCUGGCCAAGGAGCCCUGAGAUCUGCCUGUCUCACAUCUCCAGUGCUGGGGAUACAAACACCCACCAUGAUGCAUGGCUUUUUGAUGUGGUUCUGGGCGUUGGACUCACACUUGCAGGGCAAAUACUUUAUUGGCCGUGUUAUUUCCCAGUUUAUAAUAAAGUAACAACAUAUUUCAACC